rnacentral:tRNA from 1 species
GGAGGAGUGCCGGAGCGGUUAACGGAACGGUUUGCUAAACCGUGGACCUCUUUAAAGGGUCUCGUGGGUCCGAAUCCCACCUCCUCCG